CACCUGAGCUAUUACUUAGGACAACAUCAGAACCACAGAUACCAAAAAAAAAAAGCAUUAGUGGAAAAGAGCAGAGCAAAAGAGCACUGCAAGAUAACAUCAAAAUCGUCAAACGUUUUUCAUUAAUUAGUUUAAUUAAAAACCUUCACCUAUGUGUUGGGAGCCUAACCACAGAGUGACAUACACAACCAACAGACUGCAAUCAAAAUGACUCUGAAAAGACUACUGAAGCAGGACGUCUGCAGUGCUUGCUCCUUCCACCGCCCAUGGACCGACCACAGGUGAGCACCCGUGCCUGCAGAGCCGACACAGGAGGAAGUGCCGCUGAUCUACCUUCAGUUUAAAGAAAAUAAUCGGAUGCAGUGACCGAGAGAGCCGAGCAGCCCAAACCUGGGUAACAGGUACCGCAGACAUGUCACUGCUGCCACAGGAGGCUCCUGUGGGCUCUGAUGAUUUCCAGGCACGCUAUUUUAAGCAAAUGAGUGAAAACGUUUAUUAAGCCAAGCCGCUCCGAGGCUGCGGUGGAGCCCUGAAUAAGGCGGCCGCGGUAGCGCGCCGUGCCACCGUGGCCCGCCACCGGGCACGCCGCACAGCGAGGCGGCUCCGCAGCUGCACCGGGCUCGGAGGGCCCGCGGCCGCCAAGGGCAGCGCGGCAGCUGCGCGCCCCGGGAGAGGCCCGGCCUUUCCCCGCCCGGCCGGCCGAGCGGGGCCGUUGGCGCGGAGGGAAGGGGUAGCU